rnacentral:rRNA from 1 species
GCACGGGUGCGUAACGCGUGGGAAUCUGCCCCUUGGUUCGGAAUAACAGUUGGAAACGACUGCUAAUACCGGAUGAUGACGUAAGUCCAAAGAUUUAUCGCCGAGGGAUGAGCCCGCGUAGGAUUAGGUAGUUGGUGUGGUAAAGGCGCACCAAGCCGACGAUCCUUAGCCGGUCUGAGAGGAUGAUCAGCCACACUGGGACUGAGACACGGCCCAGACUCCUACGGGAGGCAGCAGUGGGGAAUAUUGGACAGUGGGCGAAAGCCUGAUCCAGCAAUGCCGCGUGAGUGAUGAAGGCCUUAGGGUUGUAAAGCUCUUUUACCCGGGAUGAUAAUGACAGUACCGGGAGAAUAAGCUCCGGCUAACUCCGUGCCAGCAGCCGCGGUAAUA